rnacentral:rRNA from 1 species
GUAAACCCCUUCAGGAGGGACGAAGCCCGGGCGGUGAAUAGCCGACCCGGGUGACGGUACCUCCAGAAGAAGCCCCGGCUAACUACGUGCCAGCAGCCGCGGUAAUACGUAGGGGGCAAGCGUUGUCCGGAAUCAUUGGGCGUAAAGCGCGUGUAGGCGGUCCGGUAAGUCGGUUGUGAAAGUCCAGGGCUCAACCCUGGGAUGCCGAUCGAUACUGCCGGACUAGAGUCCGGAAGAGGCGAGUGGAAUUCCCGGUGUAGCGGUGAAAAUGCGCAGAUAUCGGGAGGAACACCAAUGGCGAAGGCAGCUCGCUGGGACGGUACUGACGCUGAGACGCGAAAGCGUGGGGAGCAAACAGGAUUAGAUACCCUGGUAGUCCACGCCGUAAACGAUGGGCACUAGGUGUGGGAGGUGUCGACUCCUCCCGUGCCGCAGCUAACGCAUUAAGUCGCCCCGCCUGGGGAGUACGGCCGCAAGGACUA